UCGCCUAAUCAACAAA
rnacentral:tRNA from 85 species